GCUUAACCGGAGAAGUGCAUCGGAAACUGGAUAACUUGAGUGCAGAAGAGGGUAGUGGAACUCCAUGUGUAGCGGUGGAAUGCGUAGAUAUAUGGAAGAACACCAGUGGCGAAGGCGGCUACCUGGUCUGCAACUGACGCUGAGACUCGAAAGCAUGGGUAGCGAACAGGAUUAGAUACCCUGGUAGUCCAUGCCGUAAACGAUGAGUGCUAGGUGUUGGAGGGUUUCCGCCCUUCAGUGCCGGAGCUAACGCAUUAAGCACUCCGCCUGGGGAGUACGACCGCAAGGUUGAAACUCAAAGGAAUUGACGGGGGCCCGCACAAGCGGUGGAGCAUGUGGUUUAAUUCGAAGCUACGCGAAGAACCUUACCAGGUCUUGACAUCUUGCGCCAACCCUAGAGAUAGGGCGUUUCCUUCGGGAACGCAAUGACAGGUGGUGCAUGGUCGUCGUCAGCUCGUGUCGUGAGAUGUUGGGUUAAGUCCCGCAACGAGCGCAACCCUUGUUACUAGUUGCCAGCAUUAAGUUGGGCACUCUAGUGAGACUGCCGGUGACAAACCGGAGGAAGGUGGGGACGACGUCAGAUCAUCAUGCCCCUUAUGACCUGCGCUACACACGUGCUACAAUGGACGGUACAACG
rnacentral:rRNA from 1 species